UGCCAUCAAUUAGGUUGGGCACUCUGGAGGGACAGCCGGCGACAAGCCGGAGGAAGGUGGGGACGACGUCAAGUCAUCAUGGCCCUUAUGUCCAGGGCUACACACGUGCUACAAUGGAGCAUACAGAGGGCAGCAAGACCGUGAGGUGGAGCGAAUCCCACAAAGUGCACCUUAGUUCAGAUUGCAGUCUGCAACUCGACUGCAUGAAGCCGGAAUCGCUAGUAAUCGCAGGUCAGCAAAACUGCGGUGAAUACGUUCCCGGGCCUUGUACACACCGCCCGUCACACCACGGGAGUCGGUCGCGCCUGAAGCCGGUGGCCUAACCGUAAGGAGGGAGCCGUCUAUGGCGAGACUGGUAACUGGGGUG
rnacentral:rRNA from 1 species